rnacentral:rRNA from 1 species
UACAGAGGUCUCAAGCGUUGUCCGGAAUCAUUGGGCGUAAAGAGCGCGUAGGCGGCCCUGUAAGUCCGCUGUGAAAGUCAAGGGCUCAACCCUUGGAUGCCGGUGGAUACUGCAGGGCUAGAGUCCGGAAGAGGCGAGUGGAAUUCCUGGUGUAGCGGUGAAAUGCGCAGAUAUCAGGAGGAACACCGAUGGCGAAGGCAGCUCGCUGGGACGGUACUGACGCUGAGGCGCGAAAGCUAGGGGAGCGAAUGGG